rnacentral:rRNA from 1 species
GAUGAACGCUGGCGGCGUGCCUAAUACAUGCAAGUCGAACGAAACUUCUUUAUCACCGAGUGCUUGCACUCACCGAUAAAGAGUUGAGUGGCGAACGGGUGAGUAACACGUGGGCAACCUGCCCAAAAGAGGGGGAUAACACUUGGAAACAGGUGCUAAUACCGCAUAACCAUAGUUACCGCAUGGUAACUAUGUAAAAGGUGGCUAUACUACCGCUUUUGGAUGGGCCCGCGGCGCAUUAGCUAGUUGGUAGGGUAAAGGCUUACCAAGGCAAUGAUGCGUAGCCGAAUUGAGAGGUUGAUCGGCCACAUUGGGACUGAGACACGGCCCAAACUCCUACGGGAGGCAGCAGUAGGGAAUCUUCCACAAUGGGCGAAAGCCUGAUGGAGCAACGCCGCGUGGGUGAAGAAGGUCUUCGGAUCGUAAAACCCUGUUGUUAGAGAAGAAAGUGCGUGAGAGUAACGGUUCACGUUUCGACGGUAUCUAACCGGAAAGCCACGGCUAACUACGU